GAAGACGUUGAAUAUAUAAAGAUCAAUAGUGCGGCGAAGGCGGGCAGCGAAAGACAGCGAAAGAAAAAAGGAAACCGAGCCCGCGUCCUCAACCCUAGCCGCCGCCUCCUCCUCAUUCUCCCACCUCAGUCGCCUCCCCCCUCCCCCUCCUCCCGCAUCCCUCUUCCAUCCGUACCUGACAGCGGCGCGCCUCCACCCGCUUCCGCCUCAGCCCCGCACACCGCCGGCCGCAGCAGUGGUUCCUGAUCUGAGCCGUCUUCAGUGCGUGGAGCGAAGGAGGUCGGCUCCCUCCUUCUCCACGGUCGCGCGGCGGGAGAGGACUCAGCCCCGGUGUGGUUCUGCUCCAAGAUCAGCGACGGGGGACGCUCGGCCACCGUUCUCUUCUCCGCCGUGGCCUGCCGAGGCUGGCAAGGAGGUGUCCGGCAUUCUCGAGAUCGCCGCCCAUUCUCUCGAGCUCAAAGGUUAACUUCGUGACUUACAGGCGCUGUUAAACAACAUGAAGUGGCGACCUUCUCGCUGUGCAUGACCGAUGGGACCACUCGUUUGUAGAGCUGCCGUUCAGUGCGCGUCGUGCGCUCGCGUCCGCGUCACCAAGUGGGGCGAACUGCGCCAGUUGCUGGUUGGCUGGUUCCUUACGCGCAAGGCGAUUGGCUGGCCGUCGUGGGUGGGGAUUGGGGCGUCGCAUGGUCUAUGCUGGAGUUGUUCACAUAUAACAAGUUCACUAUUUGUUUCAUUGGUCAAUUGUAUAAUCUGUGGGCGUAUUAAGUUGAACUAUGCUCCUUUAUUGGUAUUUGGAGACAAGAUACUGGCAGUUUUUACGUUACCAGACUGUUUAUUAGUUAUCUGUAGUUUUGUAACACUCUCCAUUGUCUUUUUUUUGCGGUAAACACUCUCCAUUGUCAUUGGUAGUUCAGAUUCUUCAGGAAGAAUGGGUCUUGUAUUUAUAUUAUUCAAUUGUGCAAUAAUCGAUAGAUAACAAAAGAUAGAUACUUAAGAAGUUUA